AUGUGCUUUAAAAAACUAAAUCUGAUCUGCAGGCAGUUUCAGACGAGAAGCCGGAGCCAGACGGCAGCAUCCGCCGGGGGUCAAAGCGUGCUGCAGAACAUGGACUCAAGCCAGCAGACGUCCUCUCACAGAGAGCCUGCCGCUCCAAACAAGGACUCGCUGGAUUGUCCUCAAUCGUACAGAACCGUCACUACGGUCUCUCGCUCUGAGACCUCGGGCAUGUUCCCCCCCGGUCGGGCCUCUGGCGUUGUGACUGUGUCGCAGUACAACAAGGAGGCCCUGGUCCUGGAGGGGUCGGAGCUUUGCUUCGAGGAAGUCCAAGCGCAGAAAUACUUCCAGAAGCUGCAGGGGAGGAAGGAGACAAUAGAGAAGCUUCUGCAGGAGGAGGAAGAGGAGCUCCUGUGCAGUGUAGGGUGUGGAGAGUUCACCGGGGAGCCUUCACUGCACAGGGUGAGCAUAGACUUUAGCCUGGGGGGGGGGGGGGGCUCCACACUGCAUCCUGCUGGUGUGCUGCG
ensembl:lncRNA